UGCUGACCAAGACGGAGGGCAAGAUCGGCUCGCCGGAGAAGCCGCUCUCCGACCUCGGCCUCAUCUCGUACCGCAGCUACUGGAAGGACGCCCUGCUGCGCUACUUCGCCGACUUCCGCGGCAAGGUGGUCAGCAUCAAGGAUAUCAGCCAGGAGAUGGCCGCCAACUCUAAUGACAUCGUCAGCACACUGCAGGCAGUUGGUAUCGUCAAAUACUGGAAGAACAAACAUAUCAUCCUCAAGAAGCAGGACAUCUUCGACGAGUUCGAGGAGAAGCGGCGCCGGCGCGGGCCCGACCACAAGGAGAUCGACCCCAAGUGCCUGGUGUGGCGGCCGUUCCAAUCUGCCGACCAGGCGAAGGCGUCGUGACGCGACCGGCCGGCAGGGGCGCGGGGA